GUACACUCCUGCGGGAGGCAGCAGUGGGGAAUUUUGGACAAUGGGCGAAAGCCUGAUCCAGCAAUGCCGCGUGAGUGAAGAAGGCCUUCGGGUUGUAAAGCUCUUUUGUCAGGGAAGAAACGGUGAAAGCUAAUAUCUUUUGCUAAUGACGGUACCUGAAGAAUAAGCACCGGCUAACUACGUGCCAGCAGCCGCGGUAAUACGUAGGGUGCAAGCGUUAAUCGGAAUUACUGGGCGUAAAGCGUGCGCAGGCGGUUUUGUAAGUCUGAUGUGAAAUCCCCGGGCUCAACCUGGGAAUUGCAUUGGAGACUGCAAGGCUAGAAUCUGGCAGAGGGGGGUAGAAUUCCACGUGUAGCAGUGAAAUGCGUAGAUAUGUGGAGGGACACCGAUGGCGAAGGCAGCCCCCUGGGUCAAGAUUGACGCUCAUGCACGAAAGCGUGGGGAGCAAACAGGAUUAGAAACCCGUGUAGUCCC
rnacentral:rRNA from 1 species